UACGUAGGGUGCGAGCGUUGUCCGGAAUUAUUGGGCGUAAAGAGCUCGUAGGCGGUGUGUCGCGUCGGUCGUGAAAACUUGGGGCUUAACCCUGAGCUUGCGGUCGAUACGGGCAUCACUGGAGUUCGGCAGGGGAGACUGGAAUUCCUGGUGUAGCGGUGAAAUGCGCAGAUAUCAGGAGGAACACCGGUGGCGAAGGCGGGUCUCUGGGCAACAACUGACGCUGAGGAGCGAAAGCGUGGGGAGCGAACAGG
rnacentral:rRNA from 1 species